GGGCAGCGUCGGAGCCUCGGAGGCGGCGGAGCUUGCGGCCUGAGGAGAGCGUCUCGCUCCGGAGCGGCGGCGGCCACCGAGACCCACCCAAAGGCGCGACCCCACCCCGGCCUCCCAGCGCUCCCAGGCCUCAGCGGCCGCGCCCCUUCAGCUGGCUCGCUCGCUCUCCUUCCCUGCUGCCCGCUGCGCCAUGGCGUUGGCAUUGGCGGCGCUAGCGGCGGUCGAGCCGGCCUGCAGCAGCAGGUACCAGCAGUUGCAGAAUGAAGAGUCUGGAGAACCUGAACAGGCUGCAGGUGGUGCUCCACCACCUUACAGCAGCAUUUCUGCAGAAAGCGCAGCAUAUUUUCACUACAAGGAUGAGUCUGGGUUUCCAAAGCCCCCAUCUUACAAUGUGGCUGCAACACUGCCCUGUUAUGAUGAAGCGGAGAGGACCAAGGCUGAAGCUACUAUCCCUUUGGUUCCUGGAAGAGAUGAGGAUUUUGUGGGUCGGGAUGAUUUCCGUGAUGCUGAUCAGCUGAGGAUAGGAAACGAUGGGAUUUUCAUGUUAACUUUUUUCAUGGCAUUCCUCUUUAACUGGAUUGGGUUUUUCCUGUCUUUUUGCCUGACCAUUUCAGCUGCAGGAAGGUAUGGGGCCAUUUCAGGAUUUGGUCGCUCUCUAAUUAAAUGGAUCCUGAUUGUCAGGUUUUCCACCUAUUUUCCUGGGUAUUUUGGUGGUCAGUACUGGCUCUGGUGGGUGUUCCUGCUUUUAGGCUUUCUCCUGUUUCUCAGAGGAUUUAUCAAUUAUGCAAAAGUUCGGAAGAUGCCAGAAACGUUAUUAAACCUCCCCAGGACCAGAGUUCUCUUUAUUUAUUAAAGGUGUUUUCUGGCAAAGGCCUUCCUGCAUUUAUGAAUUCUCUCUCAAGAAGCAAGAGAGCACCUGCAGGAAGUGAAUCAAGAUGCAGAACAGAGGAAGAAUCACCUGCUUUAAAAAAAUAAAGUACUGUUGAAAAGAAAAAAAAAAA